UACGUAGGGGGCAAGCGUUGUCCGGAUUUAUUGGGCGUAAAGAGCGUGUAGGCGGCCAGGUAGGUCCGUUGUGAAAACUCGAGGCUCAACCUCGAGACGCCGAUGGAAACCAUCUGGCUAGAGUCCGGAAGAGGAGAGUGGAAUUCCCGGUGUAGCGGUGAAAUGCGCAGAUAUCUGGAGGAAAACCGGUGGCGAAGGCGGCAUCCUGGACCAAUUCUGACGCUGAGUGAGCGAAAGCCAGGGGAGCAAACGGG
rnacentral:rRNA from 1 species